UGACAUUUCUUGGAGGCAGCUCUCAC
rnacentral:piRNA from 1 species